AUGCCGCGGGCCAUGCGUCUCUCCUCCCUCGGUUCCGUCUUGAGCGCGAUGUGGGAAGAGGCGGUACCCGGAGCGCCCGAGCAGCGAGUGCUCGGCGCGGAGUCUCCCCCAGGAUGGAUGACGGGCCCAUCAGGAUGUAAUGAUGCUCACACCCCGGUGAAUUGUGGCUUAAUAUUCAUGCAUCUCAGUGUGACCGCCUUUGUGUUUACUUGUUUCAUGACACCCGCGGCUCUGGUGAGGCCCAGCCCGCACGCGCCUCCUCCUAAUGAGACUAUUUAUUUAUGUUUUCAAUUUCGUUUUAUUGUUACUAUUAUUAUUUGUUUUUCAGAAUCAGAAGUGCAUCAAACAUUCCCUCGCCCCCAGAACCGGGUCACAUGUCCCCACAGUGCAGGCAGAGAGCUUUCCUCGGAAGUAGCCUGGACAUGGGUUCGUCAUACGUGAAUAGCUGGACCCCUUCGACACCAUGACGGGUCACUUGGACUGGACCUGGCCCAUUUCCUGAGUCACGUGUGAGGGUGCGAGGCCGUCUGCGGUUGGUGUCUUGGUUAUCUGAUGCGUGUUGUGUGGCUCCACUCCUGGCACAGGCUCGCGGGAAAACUUUAGUCCUGGCCACCGUCCCUGAGAGCCACAGUCCUUGGGUCCCCAGCCUCUUCUGUGAAUGAACCACACAGCCUUGUCCUCCUGCCCUUGUCCCUAAGCCCCAGCAUGGGGACGUGGGGCUCUGAGCUACAGCUGGAGGCAACUCACCACAGUAAGAGCCCCCUGGGGAUCUUGAACCCUGGGUUAGGGUUUGGGAUUCUCUCUGGUCACCCGAAGGUAAAGCCUUUACGGUCAGGUGCAGCUGAUGGAGACUCGUGGAAAGUCCCCAAGACACUUCUUGGGUACGUGCCUCUUUGCCAUGGCCGGGCCUCAGGAGUGCAGUGCCCAGAGAGCUGGUCAAGGCUGUGUGGGCUGCCAGCAGGCUGAUCCCGGGAGGGGCCGCUUCCCAAAGGGGAGGGAGGGAGGGAGGGACCAGCUCAGUGGCUGCAGGCACUCUGGUGCAGGAAGAUGCCCUCGCUGGGCCCAGCUGGCGCUCAGGGGAUGGAGGCAGCCACCCUUCCCCAUGUCCACCCCUCCCUGCAUGUCUGCUGCUCCUCAGCUGUGGUCUGCACGGGUCAGGUGUGGGGCCACGGAGGGCGGGUGAGUAUCCCUGACCCCCUGGAGCUUUCAGCCCCUCCAGCCUGACCUCGAGGUCAGCAGCCUUCUCCCAUCCCCUGCACCUGCUGCACCUCAGGGCAGCCUUGACCCCACUCAACGCUCUCUGUGUGGAGCUCCCUGUUCCCGUGACCCUGUGGCCCCUGUGGCUGCCCUGUGCAUAUGGGUGUUGUGGGGUCUCUGGUCCCCAGGCUCCUGGCCUCUCCUGUACUAGGUCCCUGGUCGACAGCACCUGCUUAGUGGAGACUCCAGCC
rnacentral:lncRNA from 1 species